UAGCUCAGUGGGUUGAGCGUGGUGCUGACAACAGUGAGAACACCGAGGUCGUGGGUUCAAUUCCCAC
rnacentral:tRNA from 1 species